UACGGGGGGGAGCAAGCGUUGUUCGGAUUUACUGGGCGUAAAGGGCGCGUAGGCGGCACCGCAAGUCGACUGUGAAAUCUCCGGGCUUAACUCGGAAAGGUCAGCCGAUACUGCGGGGCUAGAGUGCAGAAGGGGCAACUGGAAUUCUCGGUGUAGCGGUGAAAUGCGUAGAUAUCGAGAGGAACACCUGCGGCGAAGGCGGGUUGCUGGGCUGACACUGACGCUGAGGCACGAAGGCCAGGGGAGCAAACGGG
rnacentral:rRNA from 1 species